ACUAGAUCAGUCAAAUCUAUCUGUGUAGCUGCUUCAAUUUAUUCUUCUCAUUGAUUUCUCCCCCAUGCCUCAUACUCUUCCAGGCUUGCAGAGCUCAAACCAUUACACCAUUCAGAAGCUGGCUUUGGUAUUACUUCAAGUUAUUCAAAACAGUCACCACUUGCUGAGCCUCUGAUGUCUCAUCUGUUGAAUGGAUUUCAAGAGAGAAGGCUGAAAAGGAAGGUGACUGGAAUAUUAAGAACUGUGAGAUAUUCUGAGGAAACUCUAAUUUGUAAAUUGGUAGAAAUGCCAGUAAUUUGUUGGGAAUUGAAGACCCUCUGUAUUCAAGAGCGAAGCUUGGCAGCUGUGCACUGUUGUUUUAUAAAUCAAUAUUACAUCUGAAGGUGGUGUUUGAAUGUUUGUGUCAUUGGGGUUUGUCUCCAACAUAGUCCUGUGACAAGAAAUGUUCAAACAAAACAAACACAAUCCCUUCCCUGUCCUUUAGGAUAAAGUCCAAACGUAAUUCCACAACAGGGAUAUAACAUUCAAAUCAACUACAGAACUUCUGUAAUUAUAUAAAACCCCACGACCACAGAAAUGCAAUUGAAUUGAAGACACUUUGCAAUAUUCCCCAAGAAAGGACUGUGUGGCUGUCAGAUUAACAAAAGUCAAGAGGUGGUGAGACAAUGCUCACCAUUGCAAAAAAGAGCUUUGUGCAUAAUGAACAGAAUUUGCAUGCCUGUUUAGGAAAUUAAGGUGAAGCCAAGGUGACUUAGGGUCACAUGAGGAGUCACAACGGUCACUAACUAGAAAAGUGAGCAUUAAACAUUAGUCAUUUGGUUUAAAUAAGUUCAUCUCAAUUAUUAUUAGAUAUUAUUACAUAGAUUUAAUAAAAAAUAAUAGCUUAAGUGAAAUUUUCAACAUUAUCUGGUUAUUACCUGCCCUGAGCUUCUGUGAUUCUGUGCCAUGAUUUUGGUUGCUAUAUCAGAAAGGAGAGUUGAGGCUGAGCUGCUUUUUGAUUGUUGUCAAUUCCUCCAUCAUUGAGAUACAGCCCACUUGCACAGUUAUGACCAGGGUAAACCAUGAAGAAUGGGCAAUGGGGCAUUUAGUACAUUAACUCAUUUUCAUAGGCAAAACCGGCUACGUGAUCAGGAAGGAAAAAAAAAUGAAGUGUCAUUGCCAUUCUGGCCUUCUUUAACCCAAAGAACUAUCUCAUAGAGUUUACAAACAAAAUAGGUCAUGCCAAGGAUUCUAAAAACACCAGUCCAAGCCAAGGAUGGAGCGAAAUGCCUCUACUGCUCCGGUUCAGUGGUUUUAAAAUUGUUUUAAAUCAUAUUGUCCAUCAGUAAAAUAUUUUCGAGCACACAUCUCCAAUAUUUCUGCAAUUGUACUACUAGAUUAGAUAUAUUACAAAGCAUUAUCAAACAGAAAAUGUUAAAGGACAGGAUAAAAAGUAAUUAGAAAUCAAUGCUAUCUUCCUGAAUUCUAUCUUCUGUAAACUAGAAGAUUAACACACUCCAUUCUCAACAGAGGAGAGGCAGAUGAAAUUGGCAGGACCCCAGGUUUUCCUGAGUGGUCUGGGUCUAGCUAAACUGGAACAGAGAAGCAAGUGGGAAACCUCUUUUGCCGUCACUGAACACCAGCACUAAGCCGAGGAUUAAGUAGGGGAAAUGGUUGUACUUAGACUUGCAAAACUGCAUGUGGAACACUCUUGUUUCAUUUUGAUUCCAUCUGCACUGAACCACAGAAACUCAGAGCCUGCUAAUAACCAGAUGAAAAUCAAAAAAUUCUCUCAAACAAUUCUUUUUGAUUAUGCCCAAGUGCCAUCUAAUAAUGGUUGAGAUUGAUUUAUUAAAAAAAUAAAUAAAUAACUAAUUUGCUCAACGUGCUUGGUAUGGGGGAGAGGGAGAAAGAUGCAGAUGAAUGUGAGUGUGUGUGCGUGUGUGUGUGUGUGUGUGUGUGUGACAGAGAGAGAGAAAUCCCAGGGGUAUCUUGGUGGAGGGGAGAGAAAGAAAAACCAACUUGACUUUGGCAGAAAUUCCUGGCCUUGCCACGUGCAAGUUGUGCUACUCGGAAGCUAAAACGAGUUGACCAGGCAGAGCUCACUUAGACCUUGUUGCAGUUACUUCUGUUCAAAAUGGGGACAACAAAGUCUAUUUUGCAGAGUCAUUGUGAGCAGUAGGAAUUGUUUUUAUAAAGUGACUCACACAGCACUUUAUAGCAGUUGCUCAAUAAAUGGUGGCCGCUCUUGUUACAUAACUGGACAAGACAAUAAAUCCUAGACUUUGCCAAGAAUACCCAUUCAGUAUUCAAGUGCACCAACAGUAUAUGGCAAUCACGAGAAUAUGUUUUUACUUUAGAAUUCAAAUUCAUUUUAUUUCCAUGAUCACAUUUAAUCUUCACAAUGAAUUUGAAAGAUAGAACAAGUGUAAUUAUCCCCAUUUUACAGACACAGAAAGGUUGAUAAAUUAUUGACAUUCAGUGGUAGAGCUUACAAUCAAUCACUCAGAACUCCUGCUUUCUAUACCAGCAAUGGGAAGGAAGCAGACAUAUUUGGCAUAUGUUACUUUCUAUUAAGUAACUCAACCUCAUAAACUGUGUAUGCAUAUAUGGGUUUAAAAAUUUUUUCAUCUAAAGUCAACUCGGUUUAGCCCAGUCUUUUCCUCUCUCUCUCUCUCUCCAGUCUCUUCAUCACCCAACACAUUCCUUGCUAAUAAAACAAAUAUCACAAUAUGAUGAAUUGAAGAAAUGAAAAAAGCAUCUGUUACAUGUGCUCUCCAUUAAAACUUUGC
rnacentral:lncRNA from 1 species